rnacentral:rRNA from 1 species
UAGAGUUUGAUCCUGGCUCAGAUUGAACGCUGGCGGCAUGCCUAACACAUGCAAGUCGAACGGCAGCACAGGUAGCAAUACCGGGUGGCGAGUGGCGGACGGGUGAGGAAUACAUCGGGACCUGCCCAGACGUGGGGGAUAACGUAGGGAAACUUACGCUAAUACCGCAUACGUCCUACGGGAGAAAGCGGGGGAUCUUCGGACCUCGCGCGGUUGGAUGGACCGAUGUUCGAUUAGCUAGUUGGUGAGGUAAUGGCUCACCAAGGCGACGAUCGAUAGCUGGUCUGAGAGGAUGAUCAGCCACACUGGGACUGAGACACGGCCCAGACUCCUACGGGAGGCAGCAGUGGGGAAUAUUGGACAAUGGGCGCAAGCCUGAUCCAGCAAUGCCGCGUGUGUGAAGAAGGCCUUCGGGUUGUAAAGCACUUUUAUCAGGAGCGAAAUACUACGGGUUAAUACCUCGUGGGGCUGACGGUACCUGAGGAAUAAGCACCGGCUAACUUCGUGCCAGCAGCCGCGGUAAUACGAAGGGUGCAAGCGUUAAUCGGAAUUACUGGGCGUAAAGCGUGCGUAGGCGGUUUUUUAAGUCUGCUGUGAAAUCCCCGGGCUCAACCUGGGAAUGGCAGUGGANNCUGGAAAGC